rnacentral:tRNA from 1 species
GCCCAGAUAGCCGAAUUGGUAAGGCAUUCGACCUUGUAAUCGAAAGGCGUGGGUUCGGUCCCCACUCUGGGCG